rnacentral:lncRNA from 1 species
GGAGGGCGCAGCGAUCCCGGCGCAGCCCCGCGCUCGCCACCGGCCGCCCGCGCGAUUCAAUGGACGUCAGAAGCCGGGCGCAGCCGCGCUUUAAAUCUAGACGGGGGUCUCCGAGGAGCCGCCACUUAACGGCAGAAUUUCAAAGUUGAACUGUUUUCUUCUUUACUCAGAGAUACUUAUGCUGUGAUGUACUACUGAGGAAGAAGUUCCUUAUGCAGGAAGGCAAAUAAUUCAAAACAGCUUCAGGAAGUCCCCGAAACUGAGCAGAUUCGCUACCUCCUUCCUACCGAGUUAAUAAUAAAAGCUGAGAAUCUAAAGGAAAAUGAGCUACAAAGACGACUGCAAAGACGACUCUGAGACAAGAGAAGCUGCCGGGGAGAAUCAGAAACCAGCCAAGCUGCCUGGAAGAGGUUUAGACCAGAAUCACUUUGAAAGGACCCUCUGGAACCUGUUGAGGUGCCUGCAGUUUGUGAAGUGUGCUGUGGGUUCCCCAGCUUUUGUGAACUGUCACCCAGGCUGGGGUGGUCCAUGGUGAGGCAGCUGUCUUUGAGUCAUUUAUGCUCUUGUAAGUAACCCCAAUAAAACACAUUGAUUCACUGGGAUGG